CUUCAGGCCCCGAGCCUCGCCUUUACUUGGCGAAGGAGAAGAGAGGGGCAGAAGGGUCUGGCUGAGGGGUUACCCAGAAAGAGCCGGGAGACGGGCAACUCUACCCCAGGGACUUCUGCUGGAGUGAUCUUGGUAGCAGCAUUUGGAAAGACCACAGACUCGCUACUCCUGAGAGACGGGAAGGAAGCAGGAUGUGGAGGGGAAGGAUCUUAGGAGGGGAGGUAAACUACUGCAAAGGAUGCUCCCUGAAGACAAGCAACUGAGAGAAAAAGUCCAGCAGAAAGAAAGCACUAUAUGAAAACACUUUAUGUUUAAUCUCUACCAACCCCAGGCUAUGUAUUUAAUGUGGGGAUAUAUAUAUAUAUGCCUGAAAAUGCAUUUAAAAAGAUGUGGAAAGAUAGAUACAUACCAAAGUGAUAAUACUAGUGGAUUUUGCUGUAGAUUGUCUGGGCUGGGGCAGGGGGGAACGUCUAGGAGACUUAACCUUAUCUGCAAUGUUUCCACUUUCUAGAAACAGAAGGUAUUUAUGUAUAUUCUUACAUAAAAAUUCAAUUUUUAAAGAGGUGGCAUAUAGUAAGUUAUUUUUUUAGGGCUAAUAAAGAUUACUAAAAAUAUGAAAAUA